rnacentral:ribozyme from 13 species
UUUUUUUUUUCCUUUUUUUCUUUUUUUCCUCUUUUUUCUCUUUUCUUUUUGUCUCAAAGAGACGGGAGGAGAUAAACACCAAAUUUCAGCAAAUUGACAAUUUGAUACAGAUUCAGCAAAGAAAGCCUCGAGGAUUUUAACUU